GAUUAACGCUGGCGGCGUGCAUAACACAUGCAAGUCGAACGAUGAAACUUAGUCGACUUCUUCGGAAAGACACUAAGCGGAUUAGUGGCGAACGGGUGAGUAACGCGUGAGUAACCUGCCUUACACAAGGGGAUAGCCUUUGGAAACGAAGAAUAAUACCCUAUCAAACCAUAAAAGCACAUGCUAGAAUGGUCAAAGUGAUAGCGGUGUAAGAUGGACUUGCGUCUGAUUAGCUAGUUGGUGAGAUAAAAGCUCACCAAGGCAACGAUCAGUAGCCGGCUUGAGAGAGUGUACGGCCACAUUGGGACUGAGACACGGCCCAGACUCCUACGGGAGGCAGCAGUGGGGAAUUUUGCACAAUGGGGGAAACCCUGAUGCAGCGACGCCGCGUGAUUUAGAAGGCCUUCGGGUUGUAAAAAUCUUUUGUAUAGGAAGAAAAUGACAGUACUAUACGAAUAAGGGCCGGCUAAUUACGUG
rnacentral:rRNA from 1 species